UCAAAAAUUUGAGAUGCAAUAACAAAUCGGUACUUGAUGAAAAUAACUUAUUUUCAUCAAGUACCGAUUUGUUAUUGCAUCUCAAAUUUUUGA